AUGUGAUCGUCUCUCGCAUAUCAAUAAGCGGAGGAAAAGAAACUAACAAGGAUUCCCUUAGUAACGGCGAGUGAAGCGGGAAGAGCUCAAAUUUGAAAUCUUCAAGGUUUUACCUUGACGAAUUGUAGUUUAGAGAAGUGUUUUCUGUUGAAGUUUUGGUAAAAGUUCUUUGGAAUAGGACAUCAUAGAGGGUGAGAAUCCCGUAUUUGACCAUUAUUUUCAGCUGUGUGAUACACUUUCAAAGAGUCGGAUUGUUUGGGAAUGCAGUCCAAAAUGGGUGGUAAAUUUCAUCUAAAGCUAAAUAUUGGCGAGGAGACCGAUAGCGAACAAGUACCGUGAGGGAAAGAUGAAAAGAACUUUGAAAAGAGAGUUAAACAGUACGUGAAAUUGCCAAAAGGGAAGCGUUUGACACCAGUGUUGUUUUCUCGAAAAUCAAUUAAAAAGAGUUAGAUUUUGUUGUGUAUUGACCUUAACAGCUUGCAUUUCAAUUUUCUUGCUUUUUUUAAUGCACUUUUCGUUUAACAAGUCAACAUCAGUUUCUUUUGUUGUAAAAAGGUCAUUGGAAGGUGGCUUUCUUUUCGGAGAAAGUGUUUAUAGCCUUUGACUCCUGCAAUCGGAGAGACUGAGGUCUGCAGCGUAGAUCCUUCGGGGUUAGAUACAUUUGUGCUAAGUUAUAGCUUUUUAUAGACAACUUGUUGACUAUGAUUAGUCUUGUAGCUUACUCGCUUAUGCUAUUUUACCUACGCUUAGGAUGUUGAAGAUGUAGCACAUCAU
rnacentral:rRNA from 1 species